UGCCAGCAGCCGCGGUAAUACGGAGGGGGUUAGCGUUGUUCGGAAUUACUGGGCUUAAAGAGUGCGUAGGCGGCCUGGCAGGUGGGGUGUGAAAUCCCUCAGCUCAACUGAGGAACUGCGCUCCAAACCGCCAGACUUGAGGGAGAUAGAGGUGAGCGGAACUGAUGGUGGAGCGGUGAAAUGCGUUGAUAUCAUCAGGAACACCAGAGGCGAAGGCGGCUCACUGGGUCUUUUCUGACGCUGAGGCACGAAAGCUAGGGUAGCGAACAGGAUUAGAUA
rnacentral:rRNA from 1 species